CUGGGACGCAGGUCUUGGAUUCCGUCCUUCAGACAAGAAAGACGUGGCGAAGGCCCGGAGUAUUUUUUUGGCUUUUCUGAGAGUUUAAAUCAGCUACCGCUGCAGGGCGUUGUGCUGUUAGUCUUAUCAUAGGCAURGUCUUUGCAUUGCCCAAAAUGUUAUUCUCCCAGACAAGAAUAGAAGCAGCCAAGGAGGAUGCUGUUGAACCAGUUAGAAGGCUUUUACCAUCAUCCCAGCAAGAUAUGAUAAUGUGGACUUGGGAAAUGUCAGAGAAGAUGCAAAACAGAGGACAGAUUUCAGAGGUCCACAAUCUCUACUCUGCAAUCCCAAAAUAAGACAAAAACAGAAAACACUCUGAAACUCAAAAGUGUUUUGUGAGUUUGGCACCAGG